rnacentral:tRNA from 3 species
GCGGGUGUAGUUCAGUGGUAGAACGCAAGCUUCCCAAGCUUGAUGUCGUGAGUUCGAGUCUCAUCACCCGCU